AAUCAACGCUGGCGGCGUGCCUCAGACAUGCAAGUCGAACGAUUAAGACUUCCUUCGGGAGGUGCAUAAAGUGGCGCACGGGUGAGUAACACGUAAGUAAUCUACCCUCGAGUGGGGAAUAACGUUCGGAAACGAACGCUAAUACCGCAUAACGCAGCGGCACCGCAAGGUGACAGUUGUUAAAGGAGCGAUCCGCUUGAGGAGGAGCUUGCGGCAGAUUAGCUAGUUGGUAAGGUAUGGCUUACCAAGGCUACGAUUUGUAUCCGGUCUAAGAGGACGGUCGGACACACUGACACUGAAUGACGGGUCAGACUCCUACGGGAGGCAGCAGUCGGGAAUUUUGGGCAAUGGGCGAAAGCCUGACCCAGCAACGCCGCGUGAAGGAUGAAGUAUUUCGGUAUGUAAACUUCGAAAGAAUGGGAAGAAUAAAUGACGGUACCAUUUAUAAGCUCCGGCUAACUACGUGCCAGCCGCCGCGGUAACAC
rnacentral:rRNA from 1 species